CAUGCAAGUCGAACGAACUCUGGUAUUGAUUGGUGCUUGCAUCAUGAUUUACAUUUGAGUGAGUGGCGAACUGGUGAGUAACACGUGGGAAACCUGCCCAGAAGCGGGGGAUAACACCUGGAAACAGAUGCUAAUACCGCAUAACAACUUGGACCGCAUGGUCCGAGCUUGAAAGAUGGCUUCGGCUAUCACUUUUGGAUGGUCCCGCGGCGUAUUAGCUAGAUGGUGGGGUAACGGCUCACCAUGGCAAUGAUACGUAGCCGACCUGAGAGGGUAAUCGGCCACAUUGGGACUGAGACACGGCCCAAACUCCUACGGGAGGCAGCAGUAGGGAAUCUUCCACAAUGGACGAAAGUCUGAUGGAGCAACGCCGCGUGAGUGAAGAAGGGUUUCGGCUCGUAAAACUCUGUUGUUAAAGAAGAACAUAUCUGAGAGUAACUGUUCAGGUAUUGACGGUAUUUAACCAGAAAGCCACGGCUAACUACGUGCCAGCAGCCGCGGUAAUACGUAGGUGGCAAGCGUUGUCCGGAUUUAUUGGGCGUAAAGCGAGCGCAGGCGGUUUUUUAAGUCUGAUGUGAAAGCCUUCGGCUCAACCGAAGAAGUGCAUCGGAAACUGGGAAACUUGAGUGCAGAAGAGGACAGUGGAACUCCAUGUGUAGCGGUGAAAUGCGUAGAUAUAUGGAAGAACACCAGUGGCGAAGGCGGCUGUCUGGUCUGUAACUGACGCUGAGGCUCGAAAGUAUGGGUAGCAAACAGGAUUAGAUACCCUGGUAGUCCAUACCGUAAACGAUGAAUGCUAAGUGUUGGAGGGUUUCCGCCCUUCAGUGCUGCAGCUAACGCAUUAAGCAUUCCGCCUGGGGAGUACGGCCGCAAGGCUGAAACUCAAAGGAAUUGACGGGGGCCCGCACAAGCGGUGGAGCAUGUGGUUUAAUUCGAAGCUACGCGAAGAACCUUACCAGGUCUUGACAUACUAUGCAAAUCUAAGAGAUUAGACGUUCCCUUCGGGGACAUGGAUACAGGUGGUGCAUGGUUGUCGUCAGCUCGUGUCGUGAGAUGUUGGGUUAAGUCCCGCAACGAGCGCAACCCUUAUUAUCAGUUGCCAGCAUUAAGUUGGGCACUCUGGUGAGACUGCCGGUGACAAACCGGAGGAAGGUGGGGAUGACGUCAAAUCAUCAUGCCCCUUAUGACCUGGGCUACACACGUGCUACAAUGGAUGGUACAACGAGUUGCGAACUCGCGAGAGUAAGCUAAUCUCUUAAAGCCAUUCUCAGUUCGGAUUGUAGGCUGCAACUCGCCUACAUGAAGUCGGAAUCGCUAGUAAUCGCGGAUCAGCAUGCCGCGGUGAAUACGUUCCCGGGCCUUGUACACACCGCCCGUCACACCAUGAGAGUUUGUAACACCCAAAGUCGGUGGGGUAACCUUUUAGGAACCAGCCGCCUAAGGUG
rnacentral:rRNA from 1 species